AUGGUUGAAUUAAUUAAUGGUUGUCUUGCAGAAGAGACGUUUGCACAAUCAAUAACACCACUGGAAAACAAGACACUUAAAAGUGAGGGAGAAACGGUCACCCUGUCCUGUAAAUAUGAAGGCGUUGUGAAUAACCUGCACUGGUAUCGUCAGUAUCCUGGAUUCAGACCAGAGUUCCUUGCAUACAUUUAUGAGCAUGGAGCUACCAGUAAACCUCUUCCUCCACGACUUUUACCUAAAGUUGAUAAAAACAGCAAACGUGUGAGUCUGGAGAUCUCUGAAGCUGAAGUGACUGACUCUGCGCUGUAUUACUGUGCACUGACGCCCACAAUGACAGGAAACUCAUCUACACUCUACAAAAACACAAUGAACAAUAAAAACUGAACAGAAACAUCACACACUAUCAACUAAUCACACAUACAUUCAU